UAUUAUUUAAAAUUGAAAGUGUGUUUUAGGUAGUAGUAGUUAUGAUCUUGAAACUUAAAAAAUUUGGCGGUAUUUUAGUCUAUCCAGAGGAACCUGUCCUGUAAUCGAUAAUCCACGUUGGACCUUACUUAAUAAUGUACUCAGUUUAUAUACCGUUGUUAUAAGAAUAUUUUAUUAGAAUAGUAAUUUUCUUAAAUUUUUAUUAAAUUUUAUAUCAGAUCAAGGUGUAGCUAAUGAUUAAGUAGAGAUGGGUUACAAUGAAUUUAUUUAUACGAAUUUAUUUAUGAAAUGAUUUUAUGAAGGUGGAUUUGGUAGUAAAACUAUGGAUAUUGUUAGUUUGAUUAUAGCUCUAAAAUAUGC
rnacentral:rRNA from 1 species